UGGGGAAUAUUGCACAAUGGGGGAAACCCUGAUGCAGCGACGCCGCGUGAACGAAGAAGGUAUUCGUAUCGUAAAGUUCUGUCCUAUGGGAAGAUAAUGACAGUACCAUAGAAGAAAGCUCCGGCUAAAUACGUGCCAGCAGCCGCGGUAAUACGUAUGGAGCGAGCGUUGACCGGAAUUAUUGGGCGUAAAGGGUACGCAGGCGGUUUAAUAAGUCGAAUGUUAAAGAUCGGGGCUCAACCCCGCAAAGCAUUGGAAACUGAUAAACUUGAGUAGUGGAGAGGAAAGUGGAAUUCCUAGUGUAGUGGUGAAAUACGUAGAUAUUAGGAGGAAUACCAGUAGCGAAGGCGACGUUCUGGACACAAACUGACGCUGAGGUACGAAAGCGUGGGGAGCAAACAGG
rnacentral:rRNA from 1 species